CAAAACUCAAAUAAAAAUGGGCUCCCCUCCUCGAGCUAUAUAGUUCGCACCUAAAUUGGACCAACAUCGGGCCGAGAGAAAACUCAAACUCAGAUUUGGUGGGGUGCGCCAGGCCCGUGCAGUAGUGCAACGCAUGGGCGACGCUCGAGGAUCCCAAUAGCAAGCUAUUGUCGCGGACCCUCCCCCUUAAAAAAUUAAUUUAAUAUCAUGUGGACCGAUGGUCCACGUAUCAGAUAUUAAACUGAUAAGAACAGAUACUACACUUGAUCUUAGCCAAAAGGCCGAGAAAGGUAUGCUUAACUCCGCUGCUUUCCUUGGCUUUUAUGACUGCUCGACGCUUUGCUCGCAUGACGAUUUCCCGAUGUGGGACUAAUACUGGCUAGGUUCUAGGCUUAGACAGAACAGCAAAGAGCACGGAUUGACAGAACGUGGUGUCGCUGCACAGCAACUAAGGAAAGCUGAUAGGCUCAACAAGUUUUUCCUUCCGCGUCUUACUGAGUUUUGGCUUAGACUAUGUUCCGAGUUUUCUCAUCGACGUCCUUCAACAAAUCUGUUAAAUGACGAAAUUUCUUCUAGCACAAGCCCAUCAAGCACUGAGGGCAGACUGACGAAGCAGAAAAAGUAAACUAAUGACUUGGAAAUUGUUACUGAAACUUUGAUAUUGGAAUUUGGAAAUGCAAGUUAUUUGAUCGCCAA